rnacentral:rRNA from 1 species
UUGAAUUUCGGGGAUUCGUCGGUUGGUCGGGCUUCACUGUCCGCACUGACCUGACGGGUUCCUACCUUCUGAAUAACCAGCAUGCUAUUAAGUUAGUGCGUUGGGGAAGCAGAGCUAUUACUUUGAAAAAAUUAGAGUGCUUAAAGCAGGCUUGUGCUUGAAUAGAUUAGCAUGGAAUAAUAAAAUAGGACGGCAUGGUUCUAUUUUGUUGGUUUCUAGGAUCACCGUAAUGAUUAAUAGGGAUAGUUGGGGGCAUUAGUAUUCAAUUGUCAGAGGUGAAAUUCUUGGAUUUAUUGAAGACUAACUUCUGCGAAAGCAUUUGCCAAGGAUGUUUUCAUUAAUCAAGAACGAAAGUUAGGGGAUCGAAGACGAUCAGAUACCGUCGUAGUCUUAACCAUAAACUAUGCCGACUAGGGAUCGGACGAUGUUAAUUUUUUAAUGACUC